GACGAACGCUGGCGGCGUGCCUAAUACAUGCAAGUCGAGCGCAGGAAACCGUCUGAACCCUUCGGGGGGACGACGGUGGAAUGAGCGGCGGACGGGUGAGUAACACGUAAAGAACCUGCCCACGGGUCUGGGAUAACCACGAGAAAUCGGGGCUAAUACCGGACGGGUCAUCGGACCGCAUGGUCCGAGGAUGAAAGGCGCUCCGGCGUCGCCCGUGGAUGGCUUUGCGGUGCAUUAGCUAGUUGGUGGGGUAACGGCCCACCAAGGCGACGAUGCAUAGCCGACGUGGGAGGGUGAUCGGCCACACUGGGACUGAGACACGGCCCAGACUCCGACGGGAGGCAGCAGUAGGGAAUCUUCCACAAUGGACGAAAGUCUGAUGGAGCAACGCCGCGUGAACGAUGAAGGCCCUCGGGUCGUAAAGUUCUGUUGUAAGGGAAGAACAAGUGCCGCAGGCAAUGGCGGCACCUUGACGGUACCUUGCGAGAAAGCCACGGCUAACUACGUGCCAGCCGCCGCGGUAAAAC
rnacentral:rRNA from 1 species